rnacentral:lncRNA from 1 species
GCGCCCUCGCCUGCACGCCCAGCGCCUCACUGUCCCGUUAUUCCCGGGUCUCCGCGAGCAGCGGUGCUGACCCAGCGGUCCGACAUGUCGCAGCUGCCCGCAGUCAGCAGCGUCCCGCAGACGGGCGCAGCGAGCGGCGACCGCGAGCUCCCGCAGGCCGAGGUAGGCGGCGAGCGGCGUGCGCUCCCGGGUCCGGCGCGACCGGAGGAGAUCCGGGAAGGCCCGAUGGCGGCGGACCGGGAAGGCCCCGCAGCCCCGGCGGCG